rnacentral:rRNA from 1 species
AUUGAACGCUGGCGGCAUGCCUUACACAUGCAAGUCGAACGGUAGAGGGGGCAACCCCUUGAGAGUGGCGAACGGGUGAGUAAUGCAUCGGAACGUGCCCAGUCGUGGGGGAUAGCCAGGGGAAACCCGGAUUAAUACCGCAUACGACCUGAGGGUGAAAGCGGGGGACCGGUAACGGCCUCGCGCGAUUGGAGCGGCCGAUGUCGGAUUAGCUAGUUGGUGGGGUAAAGGCCUACCAAGGCGACGAUCCGUAGCUGGUCUGAGAGGACGACCAGCCACACUGGGACAGAGACACGGCCCAGACUCCUACGGGAGGCAGCAGUGGGGAAUUUUGGACAAUGGGGGCAACCCUGAUCCAGCCAUGCCGCGUGCGGGAAGAAGGCCUUCGGGUUGUAAACCGCUUUUGUCAGGGAAGAAAUCCUUUGGACUAAUACCCUGGGGGGAUGACGGUACCUGAAGAAUAAGCACCGGCUAACUACGUGCCAGCCGCCGCGGUAA